CUGAUGUCAGAGACCAGUUAGAAUAAUCAAAAGUUGAGUGGUUUAGAUGAGGGGGGAAAAAAUCACUUUUGUUGAGACAUUUACACCAAAAACCAGAAUCACUUAUCUUGUGAACACCAAGAAGAAAGUGGCCAUCUGCGAGCCACCAAGUAAUUGGUUGGCACCCCGAUCAUGGACUUCUCAAUCUCCAAAACUAUGUGAAAUUUUUGUUGUUUAAGCCACCCAGUCUAUGGCACUUUGGUAUGACAGCCCGAGCUGACAAAUAUAUCCAAAUAAAGUAUCAACUUGAUUCUAGCCUUCUGAAAGAAGAAAUUAAAUAUUUUUCCAUCCAUUCAAUAAAUGAAUGUUUAUCAAGUCUAGUCACUGUCAAUUAUCAUGCUAGAUGCUAGAAUUUCAAUGAUAAACCAAAAAGCCAAGUACCUUAUCUUUGGAAGCUCAGAGUCUUGUUGGGACACACAAAAAUUAUUAUUUAAAUAAUCACAAAAAUAUGUAAUUAUCCCAUUAUGACAGAAGUUUUAAAAAGCAGUGGGACCUAAUUCAGUGUGAGUGGCCAGAGGAGGCUUCUCUGAGGAAGCAACAUUUGAGGUGAGAAAAAUUAGCAUGAGUGCAUAUGGCUAGAGAAGAGAGACCAGGGCACUGGAUAGGGCUGGAUAGAGGGAAAGCUGGCUAAGCUGGGGAAACGGCCAUGCAAAGGUCCUACAUAAUGAGGCCAUUUUUUGUCCUUGCUCUUCCUUGUGGAUUUUAUAACAGAGUAUUAUUUUUGAAGUAUGUGGAAAAAAAAAAGCUUCCAUAAAAGUUUUGUCCAUGUCAGGAAAAACAAAGUGCCCCUUUUUAAUGAGGAAGAAAGUAAAAACAAUCUUAAAGUUCAUCAGAGAUAUCCUGGGGACUCAAAGAUGAUGUGACCUAUGAGGCAGUUGGUAGCAUUUGGAAAUGAUAGCAAGUGGAGACAAAAACAAAAUGAAUUCCUUCAAGUUUCAUUGCUCUUUCUGAGCUUCUUAACCCAAGUGGCCUGUGUUGUUGCCAUGGGAACAAAUCUCAGCAAAAGAAAUCAAUGACUUAAAAAUAAGAGUGAGAACAAUGCAUAACAAACUCCAUCUGCCCCAACGUCCGACCUCUCGAGAACAUGACUCAGUAUUGCCAGGAAAGUGAGAGAAGAAAUGAAGGUUCUUCCCCCGAGAGGAAUCUGCUUGGCCCAACUUUCUCUAGUAUGCCAGGUACCCAAUCCACUGCUUCUGCCAAGUGAGUAAAUGAGAUCUUAGAGCAGUUCCGUCUCAGGGUCCCAUUGGCUGUGAUUACAGGCAGUGGAGUGGGAUCAUGCAACAGUUUCUUUAGUGAGUGAGGCAGAUUUUAUUAGAAAGAGCUGUAAGGGAAAGCAAUGAUUCAAAUCUAGUACAAUUUUACACAAAGUCAGACAUAUAUGAUCUUAGGCAAUCUUUUAAUUCUGCCAAAUAAAGAUUAAAAACAUAGCUCUGAAUCUACCACCGAAGCAUCAUUCACUUAGCUUGAAGUUUUAUCCAUCUAUUCAAGUUCAGAGACACCGUUACGGGUAACACUGAAAGUUGGGUCAGUCCUUUAAACCUUAAUGUGAGAUUGUUUCUAAGAUCUUUUCCUGAGAUUUUGAGGGGAGUAGGGUAAUUUGUGGGCACUAAAGAGAUUUAAAUGUAUAAAGUAAACACAGGCCGAGAAAGUAUACACUGUCUGCAUAUGCUUGGUAAUUUUGAAUAGAGGCAGGCCUGAGUCUAUUCCCCAAUAUCCUCCGCUUCAUCUUCCCCCAGUCCUGGCCCUCCUGAGGCAUUCUUUAAAAAGCAAUCGCUAGGAAGUUUUUGCAGCACAUGUUUUGUUCAUAGACCUACUUUAAAAUGGCGACUUACUUUAUUUUCAGGAACAGAACUACAGUUCCUUUUUAAAAAGUCAAAAUAGUACUUAUUGAAGACUGUUACCUCUGAAUCUGAAGCAUCCAAAUAAAGGAGUGUUCUGAGGGAGAAGGCAAGUUUCAGCAGUUUUACUUGCCGUUUAUUAACAGCACAAAAAAAAAAAAAAAAAAAAAAGUAAAACAGGGCCCUGUCC